GGGACGAUGCAGAGAUUAGCGGGGCCGCUGAGCGUGCAGAUUCUUGAGGUGAUGCAUAUGUUAAGGACAAAAAAAAAAAAAAAAAGAAAAAGAAAGAAAGAAAGAAAAAUCCAGGGAGCUGUGUUCCGGGGAGGAGUCAGCAGAGACAAAGACGAGCUCAGGUGGGAAGGGUGCCGUGGUCUGGGCCGCGGGCCUCAGGCCGGGCAGCUCGGGGGCAGAGGGCACCAUCUGGAGGCCUUCCUUUCUUCAUCCUCUUUCUCUUUUUAAGUUUUAAAUUCCUCAAGUCUCCCACUUACCAGCCAAGCAAACUCAUUCGUAAACCUCUCUGCUAGUUUGUAUUUUAACAUAUGAUCUAAUUAUAUAUGCAUUACAAUACAUAGUGUAUGUUUAUGUACUACAAUUAUAUAUAUUAUCCAUACUAAUUUGUUGAUUCUAGAUUGUAUCUAAUAAUGUUCCUUUAUUUUAGAAUAAGAUUGAGUUCACUUACAACACCUUCCCCAUCCUCUGUCUUCAAAUAAAUUAGUGCAUUGUUUUUCCCAGCUGCCCCCAUGACACGUGGAAGUUCCCGGGCCAGGGAUUGAAUCCACGCCACAGCUGUGACCCACAUUGCCGCUGCAGCUGCAGCAGUGCUGGGUCCUUUAACCCCCCUCGCCAGGCUGGGGAUUGAACCUGCACGUCCACAGGGACCUGAGCUGCUGCAGUUGGACUUAACCCAUUUCGACACAGGAGGAAUUCUCAUUUCCUUUCGUUUUAAAAACGAGGGAGACACGAAUUUGAAAGCUGAUGGAGGAUUCCAGUAAGAGAAGGAGAGAGAGAGGGAGAGCAUGUAGGUGAUUCUCUGAAGAGCCCUGCGGAGGCUGGGCGGGGUGGGUGGCAGGAUUUGCUUCAUCUCCAGGAGGGUGCCCUGGAGGAAGAGGCCCCGGGCAGCAGGGGUGGGUGGGCGCCGGGCAGUGCCCACAGGCAGUUUCAGUGGUUGCGGGAGGAGUUAAGGGACAGGGAGGACUGAGCCAAGGAGAGAGCCGUUGGGUGUCGGUGCUGAGGGGCUGCUUGGACAGGUGGACAAGGACGGAGAGAGGAAGCCAGGCAGGGACAGGCGCUCCUGCCCUCCCAGGCGGGGGAACCGUGCCGAACGUCAUGUCGGCUCCACACAUGGGAUCUCCGCUCUCUCCCCUGGCACCCCCCCAGCACCUCCACAUUGCUUACCUGGCACACAGGCUGAGAGGGGACCAGUCACAUGGGAGGUUUCAGAGGGCCAGCAGGUGCUGAUCAGACAGAGCCACAGGGCGGCCCUGGGAUUGGGUGGCUUGCGUGGCGGGGAGGAGGGAUGGGUCCGUGGUGUAGAACAAAGCUGCUAAGGCAGGUUUGAGAUGUGCGGGAGCCCCGUGUCCUCAGGGGGUGGGGACGUGACUCAGGGUGGUGGGUGGCUGCGGCAAGGAGGGCUGCUGGCUUGGACAGUGUCUCCCUGAGUCGUGUCCUCUCUGGGACCUCCGGAUGCAGCCUUAUUUGGCGAACUGGGUCACCGCAGCUGUGAUAAGUCAGGAAAAGGUCGCGCCAGGGGAGGGCUGGCCCUUCACCCAGCGUGACUGCUGUGUCCCCAUGAGACGAGGGACAGAGACCAGACAGAAGACGCGGGGAAGCCCCGCCAUGAUGGGGACGGAGGGGACUGACACCGCUGCCAGCCAGCAACGCCGAGGCACCCGGGAGCCCCAGCAGCUGAAAGGGGCUGACGCCUCGCUGCCUCCAGGACUGUCGUUGCUCGUCACCCGGUGUGAGCCACCCCGGGAAGCAAAGACGGAGGCAUGGACUGAAGUGCUUUGCCGUGACAUGUGUAACAAAGCAGACUCUGCCCAGGAGCAGAUGUGUUUGUGGCCACUUGCCGUGUCCUUGCAGGGAAUGCCAAAGACUGUACUGUUGUCACCACAGCAUCCAAAGGACACGGAUUACAAAGCAGUACCUAAGAUGACUUAUAAGCCACUUUGGGAGCUGCCAUGCUCUGGCGCGGACCCCACGGGUGGGUGCUGCUGUCACGCUCCCCACAUGGCCUGCAGCUGAGGGUCCGGCUGAGCGGAGGUGGCGCUGGAUGCGCCGUGUCCGUGUCCCGUCCCGGGAGUUCACAGUUUGCCUUGGGAGGUGAUCCGACUGGCCACAGUCUGGAGGCCUGGAGGGGCCGCGGCCAGGAGCAGCAUGAAGAGUCCGGGGAGCCAGGCCGCACCCAGUGGACAGGGCUCAGCUUGGGGACUGGAGGGCAGCUGCGACCUGGGCACUCUGGGUAGAGGGAGGGGCUCACUCCGAAACUGAGGCACUGUGGCCGGAACCCAGCCGGAACGCAGCCUAAACCCAGACUGGGACUCGAACCCACGGUUUUAAAUGAGAAUCCCUCACCCUGUGUCUGGACUCCCUGAGGUUCGGGUUCUUCAUGUCUCUGCGCAGAAGGAAUUCAGUGAGAGACAAAGUGAUGGGCACGAGGCAGAUUUAUUAGGAUAGGACGCUUGUGAGAGGCGCCAGCGGGCAGGCGAGGAGGCUCUGCCCCGGAGGGUCCGGUGGGCCGCAGUUUUAUCCUCCAGGGGAGUGGGGGUCGGAAAGGGCCGCCUCUUCCUUUCUGGGAGUCGCAGCGCCUCCUUAGCAUCGGGUCAGGUGUGUAUUCAGGUCCGCUGAGGGGCGGUCCUCAGGCUCCUGCCCUGGGUCUGAAUCUGAAUGCAGCCCUCCUCCCAGCCCCCACCCAGUGACCCGAGGCAGUUCUCCUACCUCCACCUGCGAAGCAAGCCUGCCUUGUGCUGAUGGCUUUCCUGAACCACCAGUGGGCUCCUGGCAGGUUUCCCUCGGUAUCUGUGACCCCCCUUUGAGGCAGCUACAACCACCUGUGCCUGCUCCAUCCCUAUCAACCCUGCCUUCUCUCCCCUCCGUCCCCUGGACCGGGUGCAGCUGGAGGGGGGGCGUGCUGUGACCCCUGGGGGUGAGCCACCCUCCCCAGAAGGUCUCAGGGAGCACAGCCCAGCUGCUGCCGCGUGCCCGGCAAGGUAUGUAGGGAGCAGGGGUCCCGUCUUGCCCUCACCGGUGCCUAGCGGUGGCGGUGGCAGAGGCCCCGGUGCUCAAACCAAAGGGGAGGCCUGCCUCAGAGAUGAGCGAGGGUCACAGCCUGGGGACAGCCACUCUGUCAGUGCCUCCCUCGUCACUUGCCCUGUGGCUCUUGGCAAAAAAUAUCUUUAAAACCAAAAAA
ensembl:lncRNA